rnacentral:rRNA from 1 species
AUUGAACGCUGGCGGCAUGCUUUACACAUGCAAGUCGAACGCGGUUCGGGGGCAACCCUGGACUGAGUGGCGAACGGGUGAGUAAUGCAUCGGAACGUACCCUGUCGUGGGGGAUAACCAGUCGAAAGACUGGCUAAUACCGCAUACGACCUUAAGGGUGAAAGCGGGGGACCUGUGAGGGCCUCGCGCGACCGGAGCGGCCGAUGCCGGAUUAGCUAGUAGGUGGGGUAAAGGCUCACCUAGGCGACGAUCCGUAGCUGGUCUGAGAGGAUGAUCAGCCACACUGGGACUGAGACACGGCCCAGACUCCUACGGGAGGCAGCAGUGGGGAAUUUUGGACAAUGGGGGCAACCCUGAUCCAGCCAUGCCGCGUGAGUGAAGAAGGCCUUCGGGUUGUAAAGCUCUUUCGGCCGGAACGAAAUCGCAUCCUCUAAUACGGGGUGUGGAUGACGGUACCGGAAGAAGAAGCACCGGCUAACUACGUGCCAGCCGCCGCCGUAAGAC